AGCGAACGCUGGCGGCAGGCCUAACACAUGCAAGUCGAACGAACUCUUCGGAGUUAGUGGCGGACGGGUGAGUAACACGUGGGAACGUGCCUUUUGGUUCGGAAUAACUCAGGGAAACUUGUGCUAAUACCGAAUGUGCCCUUCGGGGGAAAGAUUUAUCGCCAUUAGAGCGGCCCGCGUCUGAUUAGCUAGUUGGUGAGGUAACCGCUCACCAAGGCGACGAUCAGUAGCUGGUCUGAGAGGAUGACCAGCCACACUGGGACUGAGACACGGCCCAGACUCCUACGGGAGGCAGCAGUGGGGAAUCUUGCGCAAUGGGCGAAAGCCUGACGCAGCCAUGCCGCGUGAAUGAUGAAGGUCUUAGGAUUGUAAAAUUCUUUCACCGGGGACGAUAAUGACGGUACCCGGAGAAGAAGCCCCGGCUAACUUCGUG
rnacentral:rRNA from 1 species